GUCGAACGCUUCUUUCCUCCCGAGUGCUUGCACUCAAUUGGAAAGAGGAGUGGCGGACGGGUGAGUAACACGUGGGUAACCUACCCAUCAGAGGGGGAUAACACUUGGAAACAGGUGCUAAUACCGCAUAACAGUUUAUGCCGCAUGGCAUAAGAGUGAAAGGCGCUUUCGGGUGUCGCUGAUGGAUGGACCCGCGGUGCAUUAGCUAGUUGGUGAGGUAACGGCUCACCAAGGCCACGAUGCAUAGCCGACCUGAGAGGGUGAUCGGCCACACUGGGACUGAGACACGGCCCAGACUCCUACGGGAGGCAGCAGUAGGGAAUCUUCGGCAAUGGACGAAAGUCUGACCGAGCAACGCCGCGUGAGUGAAGAAGGUUUUCGGAUCGUAAAACUCUGUUGUUAGAGAAGAACAAGGACGUUAGUAACUGAACGUCCCCUGACGGUAUCUAACCAGAAAGCCACGGCUAACUACGUGCCAGCAGCCGCGGUAAUACGUAGGUGGCAAGCGUUGUCCGGAUUUAUUGGGCGUAAAGCGAGCGCAGGCGGUUUCUUAAGUCUGAUGUGAAAGCCCCCGGCUCAACCGGGGAGGGUCAUUGGAAACUGGGAGACUUGAGUGCAGAAGAGGAGAGUGGAAUUCCAUGUGUAGCGGUGAAAUGCGUAGAUAUAUGGAGGAACACCAGUGGCGAAGGCGGCUCUCUGGUCUGUAACUGACGCUGAGGCUCGAAAGCGUGGGGAGCAAACAGGAUUA
rnacentral:rRNA from 1 species